rnacentral:lncRNA from 1 species
GUUCCUAUUGAUACUGGUACCCAGUCGAUAUAAUAUAAAUACCAAUAAUCUCGUGCAGUUCUCUCACAUUUUGCUAGCUACACCGUCGGUAACGUCAAAACUAUUUACAUGUUUUGAUUUAUCAUCGCAAUGCCUCGUGGUCAAAGGCGGGAACUGAUAUUUCGGAGGAAUCCUUGCAACAGAAAUAUUCUGCAGUAUGCUCCUCAGGACAAUGGCAAGAGGGAUGCUAGGUGCAGAUGCCUUAGAAGAGAAUGUUGUUGACAGUGUUACUAAUCUUCUGCCGGGUUAAACCGUGCCAAAGUAAAUUGAUGAGGGUGAUAUACCGGAGAGCAAUAACACUGCAGGAGAUAACACAUCCAGCCAUCAAAUGUAUGACGGGGCUAGAUGUCAUCUUGUUACGUGACCAAGGACUUCCAAAUGUGAGAUGUUCAUACCGUGUUAUGAAGAAAAAACUGAGACAUUUUGAUGCAGU